AACGGCUCUGCAAGCCGGGGAUGAAACAAAACUAUCUCUUGCUUGAAGAGUCGUACU
rnacentral:pre_miRNA from 1 species